rnacentral:tRNA from 1 species
UGGCACAAUGGUUAAGUGUUUGGCUGCUAACCAAAAGGUUGGUGGUUCGAAUCCAUC